GAUGAACGCUGGCGGCGUGCCUAAUACAUGCAAGUCCAGCGAACAGACGUGGAGCUUGCUCCUCUGACGUUAGCGGCGGACGGGUGAGUAACACGUGGAUAACCUACCUAUAAGACUGGGAUAACUUCGGGAAACCGGAGCUAAUACCGGAUAAUAUAUUGAACCGCAUGGUUCAAUAGUGAAAGACGGUUUUGCUGUCACUUAUAGAUGGAUCCGCGCCGCAUUAGCUAGUUGGUAAGGUAACGGCUUACCAAGGCAACGAUGCGUAGCCGACCUGAGAGGGGGAUCGGCCACACUGGAACUGAGACACGGUCCAGACUCCUACGGGAGGCAGCAGUAGGGAAUCUUCCGCAAUGGGCGAAAGCCUGACGGAGCAACGCCGCGUGAGUGAUGAAGGUCUUCGGAUCGUAAAACUCUGUUAUUAGGGAAGAACAAAUGUGUAAGUAACUAUGCACGUCUUGACGGUACCUAAUCAGAAAGCCACGGCUAACUACGUG
rnacentral:rRNA from 1 species